GAUGAACGCUGGCGGCGUGCCUAAUACAUGCAAGUCGAACGAAGAUGUAGCAAUACGUCUUAGUGGCGAACGGGUGAGUAACGCGUUGGUGACCUGCCCCAAAGUUUGGGAUAACAGUUCGAAAGGACUGCUAAUACCGGAUGUGGUCAUCGGGAUUAGAAUCCGAUGUCUAAAGGAGUAAUCCGCUUUGGGAGGGGCCUGCGUCCCAUCAGCUAGUUGGUAGGGUAACGGCCUACCAAGGCGACGACGGGUAGGGGACCUCAGAGGGUGGCCCCCCACAAUGGAACUGAAACACGGUCCAUACACCUACGGGUGGCAG
rnacentral:rRNA from 1 species